GUAAUUAAGUUACAGAGUUACUACAAACUAUACGGUAUCUGAAGACACGUCAAUUCGAAUUAACAUCAAAUCGACGUCUUAAACAUUAAAAAUAAUAGAUAAACACAAUUUAAUAGUUUUGCCCACUUCUCACACCUCGUUAUGGUAUUUAAUCUAAUUUCCUUCUAAUCUUAGUUUUGCUCAAAAUACAUAUAACAUGUACGUUAUAAAUUGGAGUAUUUCAAUACACAAAUCAAUAGAAGAUUAUUACUGUAUAUAAGUAUAAUUUCAAUACAAUUCGAUCGAUAUAUUUCAGUAUCUUUGAUUAAAAAUUUAACGAUCCUUUCAGGCUGACCGCGGCGGACCACUGCUGAUACAACAUGAAUUAACCUCGUAUUUAAUAGGUAUUGUGUCUUAUGCUUAUAAGUGCGGCACAGCUGGGUAUCCCAGCGUUUACACUAGGGUCACAUCGUACCUUGACUUCAUUCUCCAAGCGAUGCAAUAAUACGAUAUUACUGUUCCAUAAAUAUCAUUGUGUAAAAAACGUAAAGUUGGAUUUUCUUAUUGUGGAGAUAAGAAACAGCUCAAAUUUACAUUGUUUUGUACGUUACAAAUUAUAGGCUUAAAAUGUACGAAAUGUAACUUUGAAACGACACUAAUUUUUUACGCACGAUAAACCUCCACGACUUAGAUUAUAGAUUCCUAUACGACUCUCAGUAAAAAUUUAUCCGCACUCCAGAUAGUUAAAACUUCUGUCGACCGUAUUGAUCCAUCUGCACUCUUCGUAUGACGUCAAUAUCUGUUCAGUGCUGCUGCGCAGGUUUCUUUGUGUUACGUCAAUUCGUUUGUGACCGUUGCGCGAGUAAUGGCGCUUUGCAAUGGUGAUUUGCAGGAAAACAGUGCAGGAUGCUGUGAUUCGUUUCUUGUGGUCGGAGGUUAUGUUUGAUGCCUAUAUUUAUCAAAGAUUUAAUGCACAUUAUGGAGAAAGUGUUUUGUCACGAAGUGUGUUUGAAUGGGCACAAAAGUUCAAAGAAGAUCGCACAAGUGUUAUGAAAAAACAGCUGGACGCCCGUCCACAUCCACGAUGACAACAUUGAACGUGCUCAUGAACUUAUGCUCUAUGGAAUAGACGAGUGACACUGGAUAAUGUGGCAAAUCAUUUGCAAAUCAGCCACGGCUCUGCUUAUGCAAUAGUGCACGACAGAUUUGGAUUUUAAAAAGUUUGUGCGAGAUGGAUGCCGAAAAAGCUGAUGAAAAGGUGAAGACAACGAUGCAUUCGUGGUUCGCAGCUCAGCCCAAAACAUUUUUUAAUGAGAAAAUACAAAGGUCCUUCGGCAAAUGGACAAAGUGUAUACAGAAAUCGAGUGAUUAUGUCAAAAAAUGAUGUAUGUCUUUUUUGACAAUUGCUUAAAAUAAAUUCUACACCGACAGAGCGGGCUGUUAAUCUAGAGGCUGGAGUACAAAGAAGUGGCACAAUGAUGUGGGCUGAUGACAUUUAUAAUUAUCAAGGAAUCACCCCUACAUUCGCUCAGAAUUUUAAUGAAACUGUCCCUUGGGAAGGAAGAACUGAUACCUUGAUAUCACGGAUAUUUAUGUUUAGUAACCAGUAAUUCAGAGAUUGGUAUUCAUGGUUACUAUAACGAGGCUGUAGAAACGCACCCUUUCUUCUUUGCAAAUGGUCCUGUAUUUAUGUCUAAGCCGAAACUGGAACCUCUGAAUAAUUUAGAUUUAUUCUUGUUAUUUUCUAAAAUACUUAUCUACAGUAUACCAUAAGGAAUGAUACCGUAUCACACCUAAUCAAGUGCCUUAAGAAACAUCAACAGGAUAUCACAGUAAUCCCUUAUCGACUGAUAUUUGUAGCCACUACAAUAUCUAUGACACUGGUAGUAAUUAUAAGAACAAUAAUGAUAUUCUAUAAGAGGAAAUGAUGAUUAGGAACAAAAACUUACAGGAGAUAUCAUGCGGUGGAUGGAUAAUAUGUAAAAAAUAUUAAGCAGUAUAUGAAUUUUCAUAUUGCGUAGAGAUAACAAAAUGAAUUUUAAAAAAUGUCGACAUGGUAAUAAGAAAUAGCAUCAUGACAAAGAAUAUAUAAACACAGUUUCAUUUUUUAUAAAUAAAAAUUUGUUG